rnacentral:rRNA from 1 species
UUGAUUUCUCCCUUCUGAUGAAUCAUGAUGUCAUUAAUUUGAUGUUGUGGGGAGUCAGGACUGUUACUUUGAAAAAAUUAGAGUGUUUAAAGCAAGCACGCGCUUGAAUACAUUAGCAUGGAAUAAUGAAAUAGGACGUUCGAUUCUAUUUUGUUGGUUUCUAGGAUCAACGUAAUGAUUAAUAGGGAUAGUUGGGGGCAUUAGUAUUCAAUUGUCAGAGGUGAAAUUCUUGGAUUUAUUGAAGACUAACUACUGCGAAAGCAUUUGCCAAGGAUGUUUUCAUUAAUCAAGAACGAAAGUUAGGGGAUCGAAGACGAUCAGAUACCGUCGUAGUCUUAACCAUAAACUAUGCCGACUAGGGAUCGGAUGAUGUUAAUUUUUUAAUGACUCAUUCGGCGCCUUACG